rnacentral:lncRNA from 1 species
GCCUUGGCUAGGACAGCCGAAUAAGUGCUGAGCUCAAGCACAAACAACUGUUGUCUGAUCUCAGGACAGAGACCCCACUCGAACCUUCUAGCCUUCCUGCCUUUAUCCGUCAUGCUCUCCGGGGAAUACUGGCCCAACUCUAGGAACUUGGAAGCAUAUUCUGAUACAGUCAUGUUCCCCUAUACCAAGUGUGCAAACUCCAUCUCCUUUAGAUGUCCGAGAUGCUUCGAGAGGUACUCUGC